rnacentral:rRNA from 1 species
CCUACGGGUGGCUGCAGUGGGGAAUAUUGGACAAUGGGGGAAACCCUGAUGCAGCGACGCCGCGUGAGUGAAGAAGUAUUUCGGUAUGUAAAGCUCUAUCAGCAGGGAAGAAAAUGACGGUACCUGACUAAGAAGCCCCGGCUAACUACGUGCCAGCAGCCGCGGUAAUACGUAGGGGGCAAGCGUUAUCCGGAUUUACUGGGUGUAAAGGGAGCGUAGACGGCAUCACAAGUCUGGUGUGAAAUGCUGGGGCUCAACCCCGGAACUGCUUUGGAAACUGUGCAGCUAGAGUGCAGGAGAGGUAAGUGGAAUUCCUAGUGUAGCGGUGAAAUGCGUAGAUAUUAGGAGGAACACCAGUGGCGAAGGCGGCUUACUGGACUGUAACUGACGUUGAGGCUCGAAAGCGUGGGGAGCAAACAGGAUUAGAUACCCCUGUAGUC